UUCCAGCGAAAAUCCUUUGUUCGGCGAAAUGGGUCACGGCGCGGGGGGCGCGCGCGCGGGCACGCGGGCGGGGGGGGCGGAGCGCCGGGAUCCUCCCGCCCCUUCCCUCCCCUCCCCUCCCCUUCCCUUCCCUUCCCUUCCCUGCCCGCUCCCGGCGCGCGCCUCCGCGGGCCGCGGCGGGGCGGGGACUGUGGGCAGCGCAUGGAGUCUGCGUCCCGAUUCCUGGCUCCCGGCGGGCACCCGGCAGGGUUGCGGGGAAUUCCGUGCGCGGGUGUACCAUAAAUGCUGGAAGAGAGGCCCUGCCGCAGCCCGGCCGAGCCGCCUUGUUAAAAGCCAAAAGAGAAUCACGGGGCUGGGGGAUGUAAACGCGCUCGGUGGGCAGCACCUACUGGGAGGAGGUGAUGGGAUCCCUCAGGGCGUGUAGGGAGCCUGGAGGAUGUGGGGAUGUACCCCUCACGGCCGAUGGGGGAGAGCUGACUGUCCGUGACCGCGACCCAGAGUGCUGGAAAGGGACGAGGAAAAGAUGGCUUGUGCGGCUGGCAGAAAAGUACCCCGGUGGCAGCGGGAAGCAGGAGGUGGAGGAAGAAUUGUUUGUCUGGAAAAUGGCCUCUUGUGAGGAGGCCAUGUACGUCUACUUCAGGCAAAACCCCAGUGGGUUCGACAGGGGCAAAGCCUGCGUUAAAUCACUUGGACAUGGUGGAAAUGACCUAUUAGGUCGGGCCAGGCAAAACUCUUGCCAGUCCAGCAGCAGGAAGAAGGCCACUGUGUACAGGACAUGAAGCAGCAGACAGAAGGUUGUCAUGUCACAGUACUGCAGACAGAAACCGACCUCACUGACUUCUCCAGUGCUUAUUUCCUUCAUCACACAGGGAACUUUAUUGAGGCAUCUGAACCUACAUACUGGUAGGUAUGUAUCUUGUCACUUCUGAAACAAUUUUGGGCUAUACUCUCAGGGAGGAGGAAGCCAUCACACAAACAUGGACAUUGCUACCUUUAGCACCUCUUGGUCAUGUAAGUUAUUAUAUAGCCUUGUGGAAAAGCGAGCACAUGCAAAAGCUGUGACAGCCUGUCCUAUUUAUUAGGUUGUGGAUGAUUGAUAACCACUUUAGGUUGAUGGCCACCACAGACCUUUCAGAUAACUAACCUUCAUGGUGAAUUCAGCAUCUCCUGAGGGCUGCAUGCUCUGCCUGGGUAGUUUGUGAAGGUCCUCCUGGUCCAUCUGUAGCAGUUUUUAAUGACCAGUGGAGGCUGUUCUGUCUGUUGGUGUCCGUAGAUAUCCUUUCAGCUCCACAUGCAACUUAAACUGUUCUGAGGGGGACUGCUGACACCUGAGGUAAACCAGGCCUUCCUCUUCUCUGCUGGGAAUCCUGUCUUCUCCUUUGUACCACCAGCCCUGCCUCCUGAGAAGCUGAAAGUUAACACUACACAAAAAGCUGCUUCCUGGCCAUGGUGAGGGGAGAAACGGAGUGGGUGGUUGUGGUUUUUUUAUUUUUUGAGAGCAAGUGCCAAUUUAGAUCGAGUGCCUCAAGAAAUUGCUCUGUUGAAGAUGUUGUUUAUUAAGUAGCAGGCCAUCAGUAGUUGAGGCAUGCCUCAAGGCAAAUUUUGGAGAUGUCCAGUGGGACUUUUUAUCUCUCUUCAUAGUCACCCUGAAGCUACUUAAAUAGCAGUCAAGAGUAGCUUGUGCUGGCCAUGUACCAUUUUGUAAGCCUUGAAAGCAAGGAGUACUUUGCAGCCCAGAAAGCCAACUGUGUCCUGGACUGUAUCGAGCCACCUGGUUGAGUUCUAAUCUACUCUGCUCUCUUGAGACCCCACUCUGGGAUCCUCAGCGCAGGGAAGACAUGGGCCUGUUGGAGGGAGCUCAAAGGAGGGCCAUGAAGAUGAUCAGAGGGCUGGAGCACCUCUGCUGUCGAGACAGGCUGAGAGAGCUGGGGUUAUUCAGCUGGGAGGAGAAAAGGCUCUGGGAUAUCUUAUAGCACCUUCCAGUACCUAGAGGAAGCCUACAAGAGAGCUGGAGAGGAACUUUGUAGCAGGGUCUGUUGCAAUAGGACAAAGGGCUUUAGACUGAAUGAGGGUACAUUUAGAUUGGAUAUUAGGAAGAAAUUCUUCACUAUAAGCAUGGUGAGGCUCUGAAACAGCUUGACCAGAGAACUGGUAAAUGCCCUGUCCCUGGAAAAAUUGAACAUCAGAUUGGAUGGGGCUCUGAGCAACCUGAUCUAAUUGAAGAUGACCCUGAUUAUUGGGGGGGUGGGGUGGAUUAGGUGACCUUUAUAAUUCCUUCCAUCCCAAGGUACUCUAUGAUUCUGUGUCUCUGCGAUGGUUUUGUGGGGGUAAAUGGUUAUUAUGAUGGCUGCAGAGAUACUGUGCAGUAGGUUGUGUAACCACCCUUGUGGGGACAGGGCAGGCACGAGGAGCGUGAGCAGGCUCCUGUUGCCAAGGCAGUCAUCAACCACACUCAUGCAAUCACAUAAAAAAAAAUUAUUUUUUUUUUUCCUCGAGCAUUAAUGUUAAUGCAAAUUACAUUUCAGCUGCAUGGCAGUUUUAUUCCGGGUUGGCUUUGCUGAUCAUUUCUGUAGGUUGACUUUGCCUAACUUAUUCCUAACUGCCUGUACAGAUGAUCUUUUCAUCUGCAACACACAAGAGAUUUUAAUUCAAUGUAUUCUUCUGAAAGCUAAGGAAACAAGGGCAGGCUCCUAAUAGCUUUAUUUUUUUCUGCCUGAUGUCUUAAUCUGUUUAUGUUACUUAGACACUUGAUUCAAAAAGGAAGAAGAGUUUAUAUUAUAAAAGGAGGCUUAUAUAAAACAUGAAGGUUAUAAUUGAAAUUGCACUGUUAGAUAUAGAGCUACGUUUAAAAUUUCCUGACUUAUUAGUAUCAAUUGGACUUAAGGAUGAUUCUGACUAAAAAAAGAACAGAGUUUUUCUUAGAUAACCCUUUUUUUUCAUAUAAUGUAAAUUACUUUGUCUAUAAGGCAUGUCUUGAAUGUAUUAGUGGCAAUUACUGAUGGACACUUGAGUUUUCUUGUAUGUCACUGUAAUCCACUUCAAGUAGAUGAUGGCACUAUUUAUUUCUGCCAUUUUUGGCCCUUUUUCUUAAGUUGCAUCAUUUUAAGAUGUAGAACUUUUCUUUUGAAACUGAAAACAUUAGGAGAUCUAUACUGUUUCUGAAACAAGUUUGAAUGAUUACCUAGUAGCCUUAAGGUCACAGAAACAGGAGUGGAAGGGACUCCCUUUUUGCCUCAGAGCUAUUUUCCUUAGGCCUGUUUUGUUCAUCUAACUUUCCUUUUAAACUUCCCCUUCCAUUUCACAUCUUAAUUUUUCAAAAUACAGUAACUGUCCUGAGGUUUCUAUCAUGAACAGUAUGGACGGGGUUUCUUAUGAACUUUGUGCCUCAUGUUCCACGUCUGUCAUGUGAAUGUGUCAGGCUUAAUCUUUAUUAGCUCCCGAGGGAAAACCGGAGACUGGAGUUAACAAGAUAUUUGUAUGAUAAUUGUUUCUUUUGGGACAUGGUUUCUGAGAAUUCAUAACAAACUGGAGAGGAUUGCACUACUAAGAAAUUUAUUUAGAAAUAAGGUGUUUAAAUAGCACAACAAAAUUAGAAAAUUCAUGGCGAAAAAAUAUACUGAAGGUUAUUAAAUGCUCAGGCACCCUCUUAGACAUAAGAAUUCCCUUGGCACAAAUCACUGGAGGCUGCAAGGGUAUUCUGAGAAGGAAUCAUGGUGUGCUUCUCCUAUCGUUACACUUUUCCCUAUGUAUCCAACACUAAAUAAAUUAACUUUUUUGCAUUACUGGCUGUGGUUCUUGCAUUUUUGCCAAGAUUAGGCUAAAGCCCAGCAAAGGGAAAAGUCCUUCUUAUUGCUUUAAUGUACUAUAGGCUGGACAGCUGGUUCAUUGCUAAUACAGACAGGGAUAUAAUACAAUGAUAUCUCUGAACUUAAGGGUAAGAGAGGAAAGAAAUGGUGUGCCAGGAGCCAUUUUGGUAAUGUGUUUUGCAUGCAAUGUGCUGUCCAAGAAGAUGUGUAAUUAGCAGCAGAGAGGAAGAGAGGAGUCACAUUCAAGGAGCAGAGCACGUCAAAGUAGACGCUCAGACCAGGCAACUGGAGAGGAUGUUCAGAAGCCAUGCCUUGUAUCAUCUUGAGAAAAUUAUGAUGCAUCAGGUAGAUGUCAUUAUAUCUUGUUUGGGGUUUUUUUUCCAUUUUUUUCCUCUCUUUUUUUUUUUUUUUUCCUAUUUGGCAGGUGGGGGAGGGUAAGGAGUUUGUGGAUUUGAUUUUAAUUUUGUAAUCAGGUUUAAAGUGGAUUUCACCCCACAUGGUCUGGCAACGCGACUGUCUGCUAGUACCCUGCCGGAUGCAAGGUGAUUUGUUGCACUGGAAGUUACAGUAUAGUCCUGAGACAGCCACUGUCCAAAAUACAUGGAAAUAUUCCGAGAAGUCAGCCUAUGUUGUUUCAUCAUGCUACAAAGGCUGGUUUCAGUCUGCUAGGGCAGGAUCUCCUACACAAAAUAGUGCACGUUUGGCAAGGGGUAAAGGAAAAUAAUUUGCUCAUGGCUUCAGAAGGAUCUCACAAGAAACAGGCAGUCUGCAAGGCUGAGAUUUGAGAGUUCAAAGUCAAACACAAUGUAUUAUUUCCAAACAGUUGUUCCAGAUUUGCAGGCACCUCAGGUGUCCCGCUGUGGUGUCCAGAUUCCCUGGCAAGAAUUAAAGGAUUUUUCUCAUUCGUGACAGGAAUGACUUCAUGUCUUGCACACUGAGAGUGUUAGUUUAGCAUAUAAAUAUUUCUGUACCUGGUGUGGUUUCUGCUGCUUUUUGAGAAGAAGGAGAGAUUAAAAAUACCUCAUGUCUCGUUGCUUAGUGGUUUUGGAUCCAGUAUUUUUUGCACUUUUCCUGAUGCCUCACUGUGACCUGGCCUGAAGGCUGAGUCAGUCUGUUGGUGACUGGCUACCAAGGGCUACAACCUUCUGUCAUAUUUUGGUUUUGGAGGAUCCUAGUUUCCUGCCUAAAGAAUUGGGUGCUGGGCUAAAAUCGCAUCUAUGCAUUAACUCUACAGAGCACCUGAUGCGAGACAGCCAAGCAGAAUUUGGCAGGAGGGAGGGUACGUGUAGUGCACAAGCUGAGUUCUGAGGUUUUGGAAAAUAGUAGGACAACUGGAGCUCUUGGGGUUGCUGGGGGAAUUGUUCGUGAGUGGGCCAGGAGGAUUUGUGUGCACUCUCUGCACUGAACUGUUGCCGUCCCCCUCCAUGUGCCCAGUGGUGCUGCUUGAGAAACCUUCAGAAGACUCCCUAGUGCAGGGCCUGCUGCUGUUGUCCUCACCAGUGAGACAGCUAGCGGCUCCCUAAAUUGAGUUUCAGACCUCCUGAGCAUGGGCAUCUAUUCAGUGGCCACUGAACUGUGCAGAAGGGUUUCUUUCUUUAUGCUGGUGCUUUUAUUUUCCCAUACACUUUCCCAUGCUGGUAGCUCUAUUUUCUCAGCAUGUCUGACUUGUGCCUUCUCAGUACCUCUGCAGGAACAAGUGCAGAAGCUAAACACAUGCUUAAUUGCCUCACUUAUAAACUGUUUAAAAUUCUUAGGUAGCUGGAUGUGAUUGAUGCCUGAUAGAUUGGUUUUUCUGGUCUGCUAAAGCUAAAGUAGCCUAACGUCAGUCAGAGGUGGCUGGUGAGCUGUUCUUCCAGUCCUAGGGAAGCCUGUGUUGGCAAGAAUCUUCAACAACAAGCGUCACCAAAUCGGGUGCUUUAGAGAGGGGACCUUUCUCAGUCGAGGAGAGGAAAGGAAAGGAGUGCUUAUUGUGAUGAAUGGUCCUUCAGAGCGCUAACUUGGGCUUAAAGUAGUGUAAUUCUGAAUAAUGGUGUCUGUUCCAUCCAAUUCCCUCUUCAUUCUUGUGCUUGGGAGCAAGAAAUACAUUCCUGGAGUUUAUGGUUUCCUUUUUACAUUUCUUUGCUUCCCGUGUGGGUACUUCAAAUUCGUGACACAAGAUGAUCAUUGCGAGACAGCAGUUUUUCUUAAAUCCUCCAUCUUCUUCAAAUGCUUGUAAUGAGUACUAAAAGACUAGUGCUGUUCAGACUUCUGGGUUUUUGCUUUUUUUCCCCAACCUAACAACAGGCAAGCCUCAGAUUUGGAACAUGUUAGAGGUUUCUUCAAAAUCUUAUCUAUAACUGGCAUAAUUAUUUGCUCAGACAAGUCGUGGUGAAAGACCAAUCCCUAAGAAGAACCUCGGGCAUGACACUGUUAUUUUUAAGUCAAAUCAUGGAAUGGUCCCCAAACCUUCACCAUUUCACUUAUUAGGUUUUUCUUCAAAAAACACAGAGCUGCUGUGCACUCAGAGGAAUAGAAUUAAAGCACUUUGGUUUUAUUUAAACCUCAGUAACCAUCAGCUCCUUAGUUGCUAGGGGUGUGCCUGCUAAGAACAAUGCUAAGAACCUGUCACUGCACUUUUAAGUGACUGUGAUUUCAGAUACAGAGCUAAGACAGGUAAUUAACAAAAUCAUGCAGACUUCAGUUGAGAAAAGUGCUAAUAUUUUAUGUGAUCCACAAAAGUGCUGCUUUUUGACUUGAUUUCACAUUCCUAGACAAUUUUAGUCUGCAGUUACAAAGAAUGGCAUAUGGAUUGAUUGUAGCUAAUUUGUAAAGGCCUGUCAGAUAAAAGUUGUCCAGAAUCUGCAAAUUUAUAUAAGUGUUGGUUAAACCUAAUUUUCUCAUAAUUAAACCAGCUCCGUUUCUGGAAAGUUUCUAGAAUCCAUUUAACACGCAUUCCCUGAUAUUUUACCAAAACAAUAACCUCCUAAAAUCUUAAAGCUUUCUGAUAACUUAAAAUACAUUGAGGUUGUUAGUAUAACUUCUGUGAAAAAGCAGAUUGGAGGGAAACUUGAUAAAGGCACUACAAGCAACAGCCACAGAUGGGAAAUUUUAUAAAGGUUAGAGAGGCUGGAGGUGGAGCUGAUGGCUCCUGCCCCAGAAGGUUUGAAGGAACCUUCUCAGCAAGGAAGGUUCAAUAGCUUUCUGUCUCUGCCCCAUUUCAGCUCUCAGGAGAGAUCACCUAUCCUUGCACUGACAGCAUCAUGACCACACAUGCCCCAUGCUCCUUCCCCAUAGGGUCCUGAUAGGCCUUUUGUCCCACAAACUUUGCCUUCUGCAGGAAAAAGCACCAAGAUAUGCAGAUAUUUUCACCCUGGGAGAGUUCUUGAUACCUAUUCAUCCAGGGUCAGGAGAGGCUAUCAGCAACCCUUGGGCCAUGUUCUCUGUCCCCUUCCAGGUCCCCCAAAGAAUACAAAUACUAGUAAAGUGUGCAGCUCUAGGCACAGAUCAGAUGCAUAGUUACAGAAGUGGGUCAGUGAAAGUGCCCACCACAAAGACUUCCUGGUACCACUGUACCAUUCCCACUCUAUGCCAGCUGUGCCAAGCUCCUCUUACAGAUCUUGUCAUAGAUCUUCCAUGGUUAGAAGGUAACACACUUAGUCCAGGCUUAGUUGACAGUUCAGAAAUACUCAGUUUUACCACCUUUUUCAAGGUCUCUUCCUGCUUCAGAAACUAUUUUACAACCACAUUUGAAAUUCCCCAGGCUGCUUGCCAGCAGUUACUGACCAAGGAAUUCCCAUCAGGGGAAAAACUCUCCUAGUUCCUGGAAAUGAAGUUCUCACAUACAUAUUAUCUUUAGACAAAGAAACGGAAUGCAUGAGUCGGUUUUAAAAAACCAAAAUGCCUGUAUUGUUUUAUCACUCAUCAGGAUAUACAGACUUCAUCUGUGUCAUUUCCUCAGCUUGCCUGCAGCACUUCUGGGUGUGUAUCUGCCAGUCCUGGUUUCUUCUCACACUGCUGAGGAUACUCAAGUGUCACUUCUAUGGGACAGUGGCUGCACAACAGUAUCAGUGAGCUGAAAGAGUGCCUUGGUGUUGGGAGAGAAUAUUGAUUUGGGAGAGAGUUCAGUUAUUUCUGUGUGACAAAUUAUAUUUGUCAAAUUCUCAGUCGAGAAGUUGCACAAGUUGCUCUUUACAAGGCUGAUGUGUGAUUUUCCCAUACUUCCUGUGCUGCUAUGGGAAACCAAUUUUGAAACUCAGUCUACACUCCCAUCACAACUGUGGGUCAGGCAAAUUCUAGACUGCAAAUUGGUUUGAAAGUUCAUGUGUUUGGCUGAACAGAGGCAAGAAAGACCAUCUGAACAAUCUGUGAGGCAGACAUGAGCAUUCAUUUCCUGAUCUGAAGGUUUGACUGUCUCAGUGGCAGCUUGAGGCUUUGAGAAGCAAAGAGGGAUGUAUGGACUGGUAUCCCAAAGCUGGCAGGGUUGAUGUCUCUGCUGGGACAAGUCACCCAGUGUGCUGAGCUGAGCUGAGCAUGUGCUGCUGUUCUCCACUUUUCUUCACAUGGCUGUUCAAGGCUGCUUUGUUAGACUAGAAAAACAGUUAAGUCUGACAACACAACUCUCUAAACUACACUGUAAGACAGAAUAAAAGGGAUUCUGAAAACACAUCUAUCCUUUACUCAGUGGGUAUUCAGGCAGAUAAAUACAAGGCUUUGCGCUGUGGUUUCCUUGAGUGCCUCUAGUUCUCAGUCCAGGCUCCCGCCUUGACUUCUCAACAUCGUCUUAUCUUCUGACCAAGCUUCCUCCUUACAUCCUUGGUUUGAUACAAAACCUGGCCUCUCAGGUUGCUGUCUAAAACCUUUAUGGGACCUACGUGAUCCACCUGAUUCACUCUGUUCUGAUCCUAACCAUUUAGACAGCACCCUGGCACUAUGCUUUUCCUAGAAGCUUGGAAGUGCUAAGCCAUGGCUGGACCAGCUGGAGCACAAAGCCAUCAUGCACUUUGCAAGUUCAUCAGGAAAACCACUGAGCUGUUCUGUCAGGGAAUGUGCCCACGUGGGUGAGUAGUGUUCAGAGGAGGUGGAGUGCUUUGACACAAAUUGCUCAUCCAGGAAGAAAGGUAGUUGGAUGGAAAGCUGAUUCCCUCACAUCACCCUCUACUCUCCCUGGCGAGGCUCCAAAGAACAUCUGAGCCUCUACUGACAUGAGCUGGAAGGAAGGUUGAGAAGGAAAUCUGGGAAAGGCUACAUGACGGUGAGCUCAAUCCUACAAAUCCUGUCCUUGCCAAACAAGUUCCUUUCAUGUAUGUGUGCUUUGUUACUCCCAUAAUAGAUUUAAAUCAGCUGGAAAAGUACCUUACGUACUAAGCCAAGAGGGACCCAAUGCCAGUGGUGCAGGCAGCUGAACAGUGCCCUGACUGUCCAGCAGCUUGAGUCCAAAGAAUGCAAGCACAGCUCCCCUCUCUACAUUUAAUCACUGUUUUAUAUAUAUAAAAAAUAUAAUGUAUUAUUCUUUUGCUGUCCUCUUCUCUGGAGUGACCAUUCAUGCUGUUUUAAACACUUUAUUGGUAGGCUAAGCUUACAUGUAAAAUCAAGUCUUUGGCAAUAUCAUAUGCCUCUUCGUGCUGUGUAUCUUCAAAUGCUGCAGUUACCAGAAUUUGUGAGCUACACGCUUCUUCCAUAAAAUACCACACCUGUCUUCUGAGGGGCUUGUUCCUCCUUUGAUGGACUACAGACCAUCAAGUUCUGCUUCAAGAUUAAGAGGCAUCUGAUCGCUUAAAUAGUCGUACUGUGAAGUUCUUUAUGUCUUGGGUUACAUGGCUACAGUACUUGGUGUUAAUACUCCCCAGGCCUGCGUAAGCAGCACUUUAACACUGCAUAAGGAGAUGGAACACUCCACAACAGAGUACCCAUUGCUCCCAGGAUUUCUAGUUUUACAUCCUCAAUUUUUGUAGAGCCUUGCUGAGGGACUCCAUCCAGAAACUGAGUCAUGGGUAACCUGGCAUAGUCAUUUUGAGUGGAUUUCACAGCAGAGAUGCAGAAAAAUAUUCACAGGAAGGUACCAGGAUCAUGUGGCUCUCUCCCUGCACCAAGAAACAUGGGGACUUUUCAACAACAAACACUUGUUGGAUAGUGCUAUGAUCAGCUGUCAUUUGCAGGACUUAAACAAAAAUAUUUGAUGUCUGAUUUUGCUGCCUUCAGCAUUUCUGUAUUAUUGACAACAUUUUUGUAAAAUGUUGGGUCAGCUCCUAGAAACAUCAAAAUUCAUGCUUGAAAUGAAUUCCAUCCUGUUGUCACCUGUUUCCAGAUGUUUUCUGUGACUUGCCUGAUUAGCAUCCACUAGGAAGGCUGUUCUUCCUCUGAAGGGAGAAGGUGCAAAUACUGCAUUAAGUUGAGCAGGCACAGGGCUCACUCCACACCUCUGUUCUGCUGCCUUCCACAGGAGAUGUGAGUUGCUGUUGUGGUGGAGAGCACAGCUUGUCUUCACGCCACCAGCCCUGAGCACCAACCUCAGGCCUCCACCACGCUGCCGAACUUGGGCUGUGGCGUUUCUCUUGUUAGGUUAAAUGCCUCUUUAUAUUUUCAUGGACUCCUUCCAAAUGAAACUUGAUUGACUAAUUAAUAAUAUGGAGGGAGAGUUAAGCUUUUUAAGUUCUGCCUGUUUUUCUGCCAAUUAUUCCAUCAAAGACUGGCUCGCUUUGUUGCUACAGAGCUUCUCAGUGAGGCACGACCUUGGUUUAUUCAAUAAUACAUGUAUUUCUGAGAGCAACUUACAUAAGUUGGCCUAUCCAAACUUUGUCUUCAUUCAAGACUGAUUUUUGACCAUUCAGUGGCCAUGUCAAAUACGAAAGCGAACACUGAAUAAAGUGUUCCCUGCUCGGUAUCUGGGUUCGAGGGAUGGGCAGCCUCACAGUGGCUGCACUUGUCUCUAAGCCACCAUUGCUGCCUUUACUGUUUCCACUGAAGGUGCUGAAGCUCAGUCACCUUGCAGCCUCUUGGACAUCUCACCACAUGCUGCACUUGCUGGCUCGGCCUUUGCAGGGCAAACAAUAGAUUUCAGCCCUCAGAGGUGGCAACAGUGCUGUCUCUUGUGCUGGCGUGAGCUGUACCCAGCGGUAGGGAGCUAGUGGGAUCUGGAAGUCUCUGCUUUUUCCUUCUCCACCUCCUCCUCCUCCUCACCUUCUCUGCUACCUGGGAUUUGGGGCUGCACGUGCUCUCAGUGACACAGGGCAGAAGAUGCAUUCGCUGCCAGCAGGUUGUCUCGGGGGUACCUGCAACUCCUCUGAAACUGCUUUUACACCACGUGCAGGGCAAUACAGAGGCAGGUCCCUCUGCUCUCAUUACAGCAAAGCAAAUCUGUGAGCUUUAAAUCUUGGAGGUAAUUUCCAUAACAUCAUUUCUGCAGCAGCCGGUUUCCAUGGAAACCGAGAAACGACUGGCAGCCUGUAUAGUAAAGAAGACAGCUGACCUGAUUGUCCUUCCCUGGCCUCUGUGGCCAGGCUUCCCUCCAUUUGCACAGGCACAUCCAUUGCUCAUUGCUGUGGGGUGUACGAGACCAGGCCCAAGUGCUUCAGCUUGUUGCCCCGAGUGCAGAUGGGCUGCUGCCCAUCCUCCUCAUCCCACCUCAUCCUGCCUCUCAGGGCAGCUUGUCCUGUAGCCAGGGGAGGAGGGCAGAGGGAAGAAAGGUCUGCAGAGGUCUUCACACCCCCUCCCACCCCUAUAUCAUUCCCAGGCCCCAGCAGUGAUGGAAGGACUUGUGAUGGAAGCUCUGAACGUGUGUGUGCCUCUUCCUUUUUGGACAUCUUACCCAUUACUCUGUAUUUUGUUGACCUAUUUAUUCCACUGCUUCUAGAAUAUUCCUGUAGGUUAACUUGUAAAGGAUUUAUAUUUGUGAAUACCAGCCCUAUAUGCAUGGUGGCACCUGAUUUACAAAUAUUCUUGGAAUUCUUCCUUACUACUACCAGAAGUAUCUGCUUUCUAGGUGAAGGUUCCAUUACCUGUGGUGUUCCUUAAGGAGCCACAAACCCAUGGCACACUCUUCAAUAACUAACAGUUUUGUCUGUGUGUUUGGGCAGAGAGGGGGAACUUGUCUGACCCAGGCUCAGCUGCAGCUUUUGGUUGUUUGGUUUCUUCAAACACUGCAGGCCCCAGCAUGGAGUAUGUUACUUAAAAACAUGUUUUAAUUUUAAGAGCAGCUUUCGCCCUUGGCCUGGAAAGUCACUUAAUGCUAGAACAGUUGUGUCGGGGCCGCUUCUGAGGUGAGUAGAGUGAUGCCAUGGGGAAGGGGGAGCCUUCCUUCAAGAUGGAGCCCUUGAAAUCCAUUGCUGUGUCUCUGGGAGCUCAUCCUGCUCAUCUGAGUGGCUCAGUGCUGUGAGGCACUGGCCCGGGUCCCUUUGCAGGGCAUGCUCUGUGUCCCCUGCAGCACCCCAAUAGCAGCAACCUUGCAGACAGUGUGUCCUGUGGCUCUUAUCCCAAAAGCAGGUUGCUGUUGCCAUUGGGAAAAGAGCAGCAAGAGAGCUUAUGUGGGCUUCUCAGAUAGGAGGGCAAAGGUUUCCUUGUUCUGAGGUCAUCACGGAAGAAUGAUGUCAAUAGAACAGGCUUCCAUAGUUGAAAAACUAAAAGAGCUGUUAAUAGAGUACUUUGGCCUUGCCAGCUGCCAAUGGAUAUGGAGUUUCUAAUGUUUUUCACAGACCGGCUUCUCAAAGUGAAGGCAGCAGUCACCAGAAGUGCGUUUUUAGGGUGAGGGUUCUUUCCUAUAAAACUGAAAUGUUAAAAUAUAUGAAGGGGAUCAAUUGAAAAGUAACCUACUUCAGCACUUUGAUCCUGUUUGCAAACAUGGCUUAAAGACAACUGUUGUCUUGGAAAGGGGCCAGAAAAUCACCUCGGAGCCUGUGAGGAGGGAGCGAGCUUUUCCGGACUACUAGGGAUGUGCUGCAAAGGCUGCCCCUGGUGGACAUUAAACAAGAGCUCAUUUUGGGGGGGGGGGAGGAAGGGGUUGCUGCUGCCUCAAGACAUUCUCAGUAAACCUCCCCAGAAGAUAUGGAGGAAGUAGUAUAGAUUUGCUCGUGACACAGUCAGGGAAGUGUCAUGACCAACAGGGUUACCUGAGUAACCCUAAAAAAAGCAGAUCCUCAGAGACCAUUUUGGAAGUUCAGUGUCUAUAGAGGACAGAGUGAGGGAGAAAAAGAUGACUGUCAGGAGCUAAUUGCUCUGGAUGUACUAUACAUAUAGGUCAUGUUACAGGCCAGGACUGGGAAGAUGCAUAGUCUGUCUCUGAAUGGAUUCCUGUUUGUACUUAGUUGAAUUAUGCAGUAUUUAGUUUAUUAUCAAUACCUAAUGACAUGCCAGUAUAAAAGCCUUUUUUUCCCCCCCUCAUUUGAAGAUAAUCUUAGCAAUAUCAUCACCACUGAUUACAUUUUUGAAGCUCAAUGCAACCUGGAGAGAUGCUAAAGGCUGCUUUUCUCUCUGAAGGAUGCAUUGCAGGUUACCACAGCAUUCUUCUCCAUACUCUCCAAAAGCAUGGGGCGAGUGUGGCAUCCCUGUGUGCGUCUUGGUGUGGCAUUUCACUGGGAGAGCGUUUGCGCAGUGAAUCGUGGAGCAGAGGGAGAGCUUUAGGCCACAGAGCCUGUCCUUCCUUUAAACCUUUUAAAAUGCACAGAAGCCACAGGGCUCCUAGAAGGGCAAAGCAGUUUAUAGAAAGCAACUGAAGAGAUGAGAGCAUCCUCAAAAGCUGGGCACUCCCUGAGGUGUUCCGCUGCCCUCGGCUCCAAAGUGCUGGAGGGAAGAGCCAGCCCAAGCAGCCUCCACUCAGCCAGUCACCUUUACUAUCAUCAUUUCUUGUUCAGUGCUUUUACUAAACUUUCCAAGUCCCUCUGACACAAAAAACAAUUGAUCUUUACAGUUGUAUUUGAGCCAGCUACACUGCCAUUGCUAGUCCUCACUACUCUGUUCAUGUUUGCUUAAUGGCAUGUGAAUUAAUUUGUUGGAAGCUGACACUUUGCUGCAGGAUUAGUUAGAGACUAACACAGCACUGGUGUAGGGAAUUUAAGAUGCAGAGCAUCCUUCUGAGGUAAAGAAAAAAAGGAGGCAAAUUCCAAUUCUUUUGGAAAUCUUCACUUUUAGGAUGCUAGGACUGAGUAAUAAACUCAGUUCCAGCUAUUUAAAGGCUCAGCAACUCCUUCCAGGCAAAAAACAAGUAGCUAUUGUGUGCUGGCACUGGGAGGGCUGAGGGAAGGCAGCGUUUCCCACAGGCAAAUUAGGAGUGGGAAAACCAGAACAAAACCCACAAACCUCCAAAGCCUGAGUAGGGAACACAAGACAUUUUCUGUUCAACAUGAUUUGUGUUGUCAUUAGGUGGGCUUAAUGGGGCUUUAUUCUUAUGCUGUGAGGAAAGCCCUGGCUCUGCUGGAGCUAACAGUAUUGACUGCUCAGACCUGGGAAACACGAGGGAGGGAGCUGAAACCGCAUUCACCAUGUCACUCAGGCACUCACUGCAAACAGAGGGUCCCUUCCGCCCCCACCUCUUCCUGGUGCAGGAGUCUGGACGUGUUUUACUGGAGCCUGAUAAAAACCGGUCUGUGCUGUUUGGCCGGGGGUAGCCUGAUUCCCGUCACUUACCUCACUGCAAAGGAGGGCCCGUAUGGACCACCAGCCACGCUGGGACCACACGGGAACUCCACAAAAGGUGCAUUUUAGCCCCACCCUGCUACUGCCCCAGUCACCCGGGGCAGAAGACGAGGCUGGCAUCAUGGAUGCAUGAAAGGCUUUUCUCAUCUGAGAUGGCUUGAACCCCUUCCUACUCCUCCACUCAAGCUAUGGUGAGCCCCAGCAGGAACAGUUCAGCAACACAGCCCUGGCUUCUUGAAGUCCAGUAUUUGGGUGCCUUGUUUCAGGCUGUGUAAGAGUGAAAGGGGAUAAAGAGUUAAGAACGGCUCCCUAAAAGGAAAUCAUGAGUUGAAACCCAUGAACAGCCCCUGCAGGGCAUGCAGGAAGCCCCUCUCCUCCACCUCCUCCACCUUUGCUUCGUUCAGGAGGCUCCUUUCACAUAACCACACAGGCUAGAAGCAGCACACCAGGUAACCAGCAAGUGCAGCAGACUUUCUGCUUUCAGGAUUCCAGGAUCAACACACCACUUUGGAAAGACUAUGAGGACUGCUGGCCACUCAUCUUCCACCUGCAAAAGGAGCAGCGUUACCUUGGUACUGCUUGUCCCAGGAUGCUGCUCAGAGAUGGACAGGGAUGGAGAGCCACUCUGGUGUGAGCCAUGUACCUUUCUAAGGAGACAUGGAGAUAGAUGCGGCCCUCUGUCAUCCCCAAGGCAAGCUAAAAACCACACCGGUGCAAGAUCUAGCAUUUCUUAAUGGCCAGAUCCUAUUUUUAGUUUGCUGCAUGCUAAUUUUAGUGGACCAGAUUAUGGGAAGAAUAAAGGAUUCCUACUUUAGCCCAACAGGAAUGGGAGUUGCUAGUGGAGCACAGCUGCUUUUCCAAAGAACUGCCAUGGCCUCCCUGACGAGUUGUUACAUUGACAAGUUUGAAGGGUUUUUUUGUGAUCUUAUUUAGAUCAAACCACAGGGUAUCAGAGCAAGUCAGGAACUGUCCACUAGCCACUUUCAUUGCACUUUAUGAAGUACUGUGGAAGAAUAUAUUUAUUUUGGGGGUGUGAUAAAACUAAGGUGCCUUUAGCCACAGAAAACACCUUUGCCUGUUGAGAAGCUGUUCCAGUGACAAAUUUGUCAUGUACUUCUGCACGCCUGAAGAAACUUUUAGAAAAUAAAAUUUUCAUUUGAAACAUUUCUAUUUUCUUCAAGAGCAGCUCAGUUAAGUUCAGCCACUCACCAAUUAACAAAUGGUUAGUUAUGUUAUGCAGUAUGUAUUUUUGCAUAUUGAUCACCUUCCUAGAAGUGAUAGGCACUCUUGGCCAUUGGAUGCCAGAAAUAAGUUUACCUGGAAGUCACAUUAGUUUUAUUUGAUGAACUCUUGUCAACCUUCCUUUCAAUAGGUUACAAGUUCCUCAAACUGCCUUGCAUCUUUGUUAGUUAUUAGGGUCCCUUUUAGCAGUCAGAAAAGGGAACACACCUGUGUCUGGGCAGCUUCUCCAACAGGUCAUGCUCUAGCCAAUCUUCAUUAUCCACGCACACAGCAAUGCCAGGAGCAGCACACAAACCAUAGCAAAACAUGUCCCUUUCCCAGCGUUGUGGGUUUCUGUGGCUGGGUUUUGGUAGAGGGGGGAGGAGGAUACAGGGAUGGCUUCUGUUAGAAGCUGCUAGAAGCUUCCCCUGUCCCCUGGAGCCAAUGCCAGCUGGCUCCAGCAUGAACUUCCUGCCGCUGGCCAAUUAGGAGUAAUAGUAACACCUCUGUGAUAACGUAUUUAAGAACAGAAGGUUGUUGUGUAGAAAGAAUUCCGGUCAGGGAAGAGCAGGGUGAGAACAUGGGAACAACAAUGCAGACACCAAGGUCAGUGCAGAAGGAGGGGCAGGAGAUGCUCCAGGUGCCAGAGCUGAGGCCCUGCAGCCUGUGGUGCAGACCAUGGUGGGGCAGCUGUGCCCCUGAAGCCUAUGGAGGGACAUCGGGGUGCAGAGACCCCCCUGCAGCCCAUGGGGGAGCCCAUGCUGGAGCAGGUGGAUGCAUGGAAGCUGUGACCCCAUGGGAGGCACAAGAUGGAGCAGGGUCCUGCUGGAGAUCUGCAGCCCAUGGAGGGGAAACCCACACUGGAGAAGGUUUUUCCCAGGUAGGACUUGUGGCCCCUGUGGGGGAUCCACAUUGAUACAGCUCAUCUGCAACUCAGAGGACAGCAGAUUGGGAAGAACUGCUGCCCAAGGGAUGGACUCAUGGUGAAGAGGUCCAUCAAGGACUGUGUCCCAUGGGAGGGACCCCAUGGGAGCAGGGGAAGGACUCCUCUCCCUGAGCAGCAACAGAAACAACAACCGACUGUUACCCCCACUCCCUGUGCCCCUGCACUGCUGGGGGGGGAGGAGGGAGAACAUGGAAGGAGGGGUGGGGGGAAGGUGUUUUUAAGACUGUUUUGUUUCUUACUCUUUGGUUCUUGUCCUGUUAGUAAUAAAUAUAAGUACUGUCCCCACUUUGAGUCUGUUUUGCCCAGGAAGGUAAUCAGUAAGUGACCUCUCCCAGCUAUCUCUACUCACGAAUCCUUAGUUUGUUUUUUUUUUCUCCCUCCUGUGUCCAGUUGCAGCAGGAGAGGGAGAGUGCAGCUUUAGUGGGUACCUGGUAUCCAGCCAGGGUCAACCCACUACACUGAGCUGUGGGGCAAGAGAGGGAGGAGCAGCACCAGCUCAGAGAGUGCUCCCAUUUAUCAGUGCCCUCAAUGUGCAGAGAAGUCUCUCUCCUGUUGGAACACGUGUACCCACCUGCCCUUUGCAAAUUCCAACGCCAACUCCUCUGGGUGCUGGCAAACACUGUGCCAGAGCUUGGGAGAGUCUGGGGAACAGGCUGUGCCAGUUAGUUCACCAUGCAGCUGCUCCACAGCACCUCACAGCCAGUGUGGCUGCAAGGAGCAGGCCAGCUCUGCUGCCCAGAGCAACCACAGCUUUAAACAGAGGUGCCACCACCCCACAGGUUCUGUCAGGCUGCAAUCCAACUGUUAUGUGGCCCUGCCCAGGAAAUAGCUUGGCAACUUUUUAAUUCAACAGCCAGGGGAGUUCCUCUGGUCUGGGUCAGCACUGGACUGUGCCACCAGUGGUGCUGCCGCUGCAGGAGCAGGCACAGCACAGGCAGCCAGAGUGAGGCUGGUGUUGCCAUUGGUACUUCUGCUCUGCUCAGAGGAACUGGCAGGGCACAGACAUCACAGCCCCCACAUGCCUCGUGGCUGCUCAGUCUGCUGCAAAUCCAGGCCACAGAGCCAGGCUUUAAAACCAAGCUGUAGGAUGUGGCACACAGUACCUGUGAUGUGUCCCAAGCACAGCGCGGUGUUUGGAUACCCCAACAGAUGUAGUUAGUACACCAAAUCUAAACACAUUUUGAAUUUAGUCUGAUGGAAACUAGUGGCUUUUAAUAACGCCUCAGACAAACCAAACUAUACCACCUGAUGCUCACGUCAGCAUAACAGCCUACACCCUAACUAUAGGAAACCCUUGGAUAGUUUUACUGUCCUCAAAACCGUAUUUCUAAACCAAAGAUCAGCCUGGGUGGCACUGCCAAAACAAGCUGUAGGUACAACGGGAGUAACACACAGAGCCAACUGUCUUUUUUUUUUUUUUAUAAAAGUAUUUUUAAUAAACUGAUGGAUUUAAGUUUAAGAUGCUAGACAAAUUGUUGCCAUGUACAGGUAACAAAAGUCAAAAUUCUUCGAAUUUUAUACAAAUACUAUGUAGUACAGUAAACUUGAAUACAAGUUUACAAAAAAUGCAUCAGUGAAUAUUCAGCUUGUAAGCAACUUCCAACAGUGAAAAUUAUCAUCUAUCAAUAGUGAUCAGAAUUGCAUUGUCAAUUUUAGAAGUAAUGCAACUAUCCUUUUUUUACCAAGCCACUCUGGAGUUAUUGGUGCACACUGACAGUACAUUGGAUUUUUUUGGCUUGCUGAACAGAAAAUGGCAUUUAAAUAAAAUGACCGAGUUAAACAAUGUCCUAAGUAUCAAAAGUACUAUCUCACAGAAGACUAAACAAGAAUGAGAAAGUAAACAGAGCAGAACCCUGAAGUGGUGAUUUUUCUACCCGUUUUGAUGGAAAAGAUUCCACAGGUGUCCAGCUUUCUCACAGCAUUUUGGAGUGUUCUAGUCCUAGCACAGUGUGGUCAUUAGUAGACUAAAGUAAUCCCUGCUUGGCAGUAAUGCUGGUGAAAGGUAACUUGCUCUAUUGCUAACAAAUCGGAGUAACCACUGGCAGGGCAACUUUUCGGAGGCAUCCAGCGGAAGCUGAGCUGACAGCACACGAUUGGAGUUUACAGUACCACUCGCUUCGAUACAAUACCCAACAGCCUUCAGGGUUCAGGUGUCAGUUUCCUCACAGGAUUUACAAAUGGAUGGUUUUGAAACAAACACAAAAAUCAUUAUGGAGCAUGAGACAGUAUUUUCACCUGUACAGCUACCAAUAAAAUGAAUGUUUUUGUUACAAACUUUCCAGUCUGCUUUAUAAAAAAUAGUCUUAGUUUUACUUCUAAAUAAAAACUGUGCUGUGAUCUGUCACGUUCUUGCAUUGUACAUGCUGUAAUUGUGUGUGUUAAUGAAGGUGUAGAGAUUUGUGACCUAGCGCUCUGGAUGUAUCAGAAGCCUAAAAAGCUGAUUUUGGUACAUAAAAGGUAGCAAUGAAAAUUCAUUCUAUUUAUUUUUCCUAAAGCUUAGGAAAAGCUACAGUACAUUGCUAGAUCAGUGGCCUCAACCCUGAGCUGAAAUAAAGGACCUGCCUUGGCCAAGAGACUUAGUCACAUUACUACCACAGCUGCACAGCAGAGACAAAAUAACCUGUCUGCAGCCUGUUGUCUUCGCUGUGAGUAGUGCGAGAUUCAGUUCUGUAAUGCUUGAGAGUUGACUGGAGACCACCAUAUUCAUUUUCACUACAGAGGAAAAAAGGAAAGGAGAACUCAAAUUCUCAGAGAUUCAAGUGAAAAGCACUCAACAGGGAGGGUCAGUAUGUCCAGCUUCUGGAGAUCAGAGAACGAAGUCAGUGGCAGACUCAUCAGUCUUAAGCAUUUUCCCAUGUAGUAGAAGAGAUAUUAAAAUACGUACCAAAAUACAGUUAAGGAGACUCUCUACUAUUACCUCACUCUUUCCACAAAGAGUCUCACAUGAUUUUUCCCCCUCCAGAACUGAGCAUCUCUCUGUACCUACAUGGCAUCACAGAAGAUAAGUGAAAACAAAGCCUGUCUGACAAAGGAUUCAACUCAGCUGCCAGCAGAGAAACUUGCACUUGUUUCUAGCACGAGUCACAGUUAGCCAUCAGAAGAAUUCUUACUAGGAUACAGCCUAUUGCACCUUCCUGUAGGAUUCAAUGGCACCAACUACACAUGGCUGGGAGCAUUCAUAACAUGAAGCAUUCCUGCCUCCCUAGAGGACUUUUUUUUUUUUCCUUUUAAACAGCAGAAACUGUAGAGUCAGUAUUUCACUUAGUGGAAAAACUAAACCCAGCAACAGACUGAAAGUAAAGUUGUAAGAAUCAUUUAUAUUUCUAGUAAUGCACACUUCUUUGUGAGCUGAUCAGUUUAGGGAUGGUAUGUUUUUUCUUUAAGGCAGCAACUCCUACAAAAUACACAAGCUCACCUCCCUCAUGUUUGUGCUACUGUAGCCUUAUAUGCACAAUAGAACCUCACUAAUUUACACUAAUGAUUGGAAGAUCCAUUAAUUCUCUUGGUAAGUGAACAAGAAUAAGGCAUUCCAUUAUAUAUUCUGAUCACUAAUUAUAAUUUAGCUCUAAUUAUACUCUACCAGCAAACAUACUUCUGUGUUUUAGAAAAUAAUAUCUCUUACCUUCAGAUAUAAUUGUGUGUGCAGAUUAGUGGGUUCUGCUGUGUAAAUACGCAGGUGCAUAAGCAGUUUUCAGGUUUUUCUUCAUUACAUCUGACAAAAAAGUUAAUGCCACAGAUAGAGACGGUGGGAAAAUAAAUUGGGAUUUCUCUAUCAUUUGUGCGGACGUGCACAACUGGGCAGCACUUCAUAGCUCAGAAAUAAAAAAUAAAAA